CCGAUUCUCAUUCCAAAAAGAAAUCCAGAACGCCCCAACAUCUCCUUCUUCAAGUCCUUGUACAGAUUUUCUGCAAUUCCAGUUGUUGCCCCCGUCCUGACCAAUGCGAGAUCAUUCCACGUCGACGCCAGGGACGCUAGAAUCCAAUCCAAGCGUCCAUCCCCCUUUCCUCUUCUGGAAUGGGGUUGAAGCUUCAAGAAAAGGUGUUUAGCCUAAAUGGAAAAUUUUUUCAAAGGAUUGAAUUUUCAAUAGGUUUGGUUUUGGUCCGAAAAUUUCAUCUGAUUCCACCCUCCCCCCCCCCCCCUUUUUUUUUCAAACCCUAAUUUCCCUUCUAUAUAUAGUUUGUUAUCUUUUUACUGUUGGAGUGGGAGAAAAUAUUGGAGAGAGUUACAAGAGUUGAAAUAUAUAUACAUAAGAAAAAGGUUGAAAAGUUGGGAGAAAAAAAGGAAAAACAGAGGAAAAAGUUGUGUGAGAGAAAUUGAACAAAAAAGAGGUAUGAAGUUAGUCAUAAUCUACCAUUAGAAAAUAUAUCUUAAAAGAGUCAGUCUUUUGGUUUUGCUUGCAUUUUUUUCGGGGGUCUUAUUGUUUGAAUCUGAGCUCCUGCAAUAGAAGAAUAGUGGAAGGUGGCUCCCCUGCAUGUUCUCGUCUUGAUUCGUUGCCUCAAAAAAGACUCCAUCCUUGCAUUGAGCUGAAUUUCUUCGAGUCAUCCUCAUCUUGUUCGAGUGAAUCGGAGGCAAUCUACAUGCUGGAGAUUGAAUUUUCAAGUCCCAAAAGCCCAAAAACUGGUUGUAUACCGUCUGUACACAACAAUACAAAAUGGUAUACACUGCGAAAAUAAUGAUAUACAGGUCACAAAAAUAUGAAAAUAUGGAUUGAAACACAGUAGCUACAGGUUAAAAAUAAAAAAAACAGGGCAGAGACGAAGCAUAAGUCCCGUAUACAUUGUAUACAUGACUCACUUUGGCAUGAAUAUGGGCCAAUGCCCAAUUUUACUAGGCUUUGCUUGUGUUCCAGCAGGUCCCAGCAGACAAAUGGGUCCAAAAGAUCCCAAAAACAGGCCAAGCCCAUUAUGAAGGAAUUGUAGAUUUAGGACAGGUUGAGCGUAGGCCCAAGAAUUUGGUUUUAUUUCCUAUCUUAUCUUCAUUUGCUUAUUAAAGUUGGUUUAAUUUAAUUAAUUUCCCACAGAUAGUUAUAUAUAUAUAUAUAUAUAUAUAUA